rnacentral:lncRNA from 1 species
AAGGGUCAUUCCACGGGGUUGGGGCAACAGCACUUUUUUGUGUUCCUUAUGAACUGUUAGCUUUAUCCUGAAAAUGUGUUUGGUGUUUUGAUGUUGCAAUGUGGUUUUGUUGGAAGGCAGUUAUGUAAGCAAUUACUUGAUGCAGAAAUAAAAAUGUUGAACUGCAAGUAUUAUUGAUGGUGAGACUUUAAAUGAUGAUGUCCAGACUCUUUUUUGGGGUACCAAGUGUGACAUCCAAAAUGGUCAUUUUCAGUUGAAGAUAUCUAAUCAAAAGAUAGACUUAGUCAAAUUCAAAUGGCCAUGAUUGAUAAAGCAACAUUUGUUUAAUAACAAAACAGUAAUGGGAUAGCAAAUGAAAAGAGACUUCAUAUCAUAAAUCAUUCCUACAAAUCGGCAUACCACCGUUACAUGCGAUGUCCUCGUUUAUUUUUUCUGUAACGGCGGUAAUGUGGUUAAUAUCUAAAAAUCAGAAAUCAUUUUUUCCAAAAUUAUGUGUCAGAAAUAAAGGGCAGGCAGUAAGCAACUGUUAAUCAAAAGAUUAGCUUUGAAAACCUAUGGUAAUGUCAUCUAAAUUAAUCGAGAGUCGCCGAUGUUUUGGGCGAUGUCCGGGCCAAAUUUGUAACGGUGGAUCACAUUUCAUCGCGUAUGUAAGAAGGAGACACCGGAGAAGAGACCGUCAUUGUAUCAGACGGACGGGUUGUUAGCCGAAAUCCACAUGCACAUUAACAGCUAUGAUAGCGGGCGUUUUGAAGCAUUGCAAUUGGGAAUAUUCCUGCAAUGUCUUUGUAACGGUGGAUUGGAUAUCCACGAUGUUUUCCCUUUCAAAGCGACGUAGCCUCUGUUGAAGGUAAAAAUAUAUAUCUUCAGUACAUGAAGUGUCAAUCUGGUGACCUGUACUCCUGGCCUGAUGGCGAGGCACAAUUCUACCUCUAUCUAUUUUGUGACAUUGACAGAGUCCUCUUCCACACAGUUGUCAUUGGGUCACCGAUCAUCUUGAAGUUCAUAAACUUGUAACCUGAAUGCAGAGAGAAAUAUUGCAUGUUAUUUCUUAUUGUCAGGUUUAGUGUACAGUGUAAUACUUUUUUUUGCAUUUGCCAGUAAGAAGUUUACCAUAGAGUUUUUAACCAAAGGAAAAUAUUGUAGUUUGCAGUGUUAUUCUUGAACAUUUAUUAGAAUAGCUUAGUAGAAAUAGUACAUUUUACUUUCUUGUUCACGACUCAAUGGUCAAACAACAGGUGUAAGUUUUUUUUAUUCAAUUUGUCCACUAAGUACUUUACAAUUGUCCUUUUGGCAUGCUGGAACUUACUGUUUUAUCCAAUGCAUUUAUUCCAGUGAUGACAUGAUUAUAUUUUAAUUAAUGUCACUUAGAACUACAUUACCAUGUACAUGUAACUGAGGUAAAAUAAGUUAGAGUAAACAAAUUGAACAAGUUAUAUGUGUAAGUAUUAAUGCAUUGUCCAUGAAUUGCAUGCCAACUUUGUGUUGUUUUGUCUUGAAAAACCAUACAUGUAGCUUAGAAGAACUAAACUAGUACCUUUUCCCUACAUCUUUUUCACCCGAGUAUUGUAUCAAAGGUAUCAAAAUUAUAAUCGUGUACAUGUAUGAAUAAAAAAAAAACAUUUUACCUGUUCAUUGAUGCAUUUUAGAAGCUUGCCUGUAGAUGUUGUAUUUCUACACUUGAGUAAGAUGAGUUAACUCGCAUUAGUGUGUUGAUACUAAAAGAAUGGCAAGUACAUGUAAUACUAUUCAAUAUGGUCAUUACAAGGACAUGAUGUCCAUGUAACGGAGGUAUGUACAUUUGAAAGUAAUAUCGUGAAGGAGAUAUUUUAAAGUAAUAAAGAUUUGGAGAUCAUAAGCUAGCACUCUUUUUUUUCCCCCUUUAGACAGAAACAUUCGUUUCCAGAGAUAGACGGAAGUGGAACCUUGAGGAUUACCUUAGUAUUAUUUUAAAUAUUAAUUUAUCAAUAAUUUUGUACAUUUUUCCUUGUUUAAACUCUAAUUUAAAUUGCUUUUAUUUGCAAAGAAUUUGACAUGAAAAAUGUUUUUUAGUAUAAUCAAUUGAUCUUGUGCAAAUAUUCUAAGGCGUGAAGUGGAAUUUGGUGUUUAAUGGCCAUUAAUGGACCUUAACUUAGCAAUGUUUCAAAGUAUACCUCUGUUACUGAGACAUGAUGUCCAUGUAACGGUGGUAUGUACAUUUGAAAGUAAUAUCUUGAAGCAGUUAUUUUAAAGUAAAAAGAAUUGGAGAUCAUAAGAUAGCACUGUUUUGUUUUUUCCCUUUAGGCAGAAACGUAAAUGUUUCCAGAGGUAGACGGAAGUGGAAACUUGAGGAUUAUCGUAGUAUGAUUUUAAAUAUAAUUUGUCAAUAAUUUUGUACAUUUUUCCUUGUUUAAACUCUAAUUUAAUUUGCUUUUAUUUGCAAAGAAUUUGACAUGCAAAAUGUUUUUCUUUAGUGUAAUCAAUUGAUCUUGUGCAAAUAUUCUAAGGCAUGAAGUGGAAUUUGGUGUGUAAUGGCCAUUAAUGGACAUUAACUUAACAUUGCUUCUAAGUAUACCUCUGUUACUGAGACAUGAUGUCCAUGUAACGGUGGUAACACUAAAAAUAGAAGGUUAUGCCAGAAAGAGUAGUUUAGUUUUUCCAAAGAGAAUAUUCCAUUCUGUUGAGGCAUGACUUCUCUCAACUAUUUAGUUCUACAUGCCAUCAUAAAUUCAAUUUUCUA